UACACAUUUCACAUGUAUACUCGCACAAAAACAUGAAUCCAGACCAAACACCUUCAGAACCCAAUUAAACAUCUGGCCCACUACACCUAUAUAUACAUACACUCUUGCUCAUUCGAAACCCUUCUAUCUUCUUCAUCACUUUUACUUCCAAGUUGAAAACAGAUUGUUAAUGUUCUUAUUAUAGAUCUCAAUUGAGAUGGGUAGAUGGAAUCAUCGGCGCAGGUGGGUCCCUCGUCGUAACGAGGAAGAUGAACAACCUCGUCGCAGGCGCUCUCCCCCAAGUUACUACCAAACUAAAGUCGAUCCUCAAGAGGUAUUACAGAACAGUUCCCUUCCAUGGGAGCAAAAGUUUUGCCUUUUAGGUGGAAUUCCGUGGUAUAAGGUACUCGCAGCAAAAAAGUAUAUAUACUGCCAUGAGAAUGUGCUAAAAUGGGAUGAUACCGCUGGCAAAGAUGCUCUUUUUGAUGCUCAGGAACGCUUUUGCUCCAUGAUUAAUAGCCUGCCUCAUAUUCCUCCCUUACCUGAUCCGGAUAUGUAUAUUGACAACAUCGAUUGGAACCCGGAGAUUGAUCCCGGACUGAUGUCAGAGUUGGAUAAAAUAUACUUCAAUCCAGAUGAAGCGGAAAACUCAACUUCUAAUGAAAUUUCAGGUUGUAACGACAAGAAUAAGAGUUCUUUUGAUAACCCUUGGGAAUCUUGUCGUUUGGAAGAUAAAGUCGAUAUAAAGGUUUUAGCACAGAGUUGGAAUAAUUGGAGUGAUUCUCUGGACUCAAAGAAUGCUACAAAUUUGUGGGAGCAGCACGGCCAUAAUGGUGAUGUGGCUUCAAAGGACAAAAAAUGGGGAAGUUCUGUGAAUAAGCCAUUUGGUUGGAACAGGGGACUAAAUGAUAUGAGAGAGUCAACCAAUUAUGAAUCUGAUUGUGUAAAUUCUUGGAACCAAGGUGGUUUACGUCCUAAAUUACUGAAUGAAAAAGGUUGGGGAGAUGCUUCGAAAAAUACUGGUGGAUGGAAUUGUUGGAAUUACAAAUCUAAUGAGUUAGGCAAUUCAGGCAAUGUAGAUUCCUGGAAGUCGGGUCCUGGUGGAACCUCAAAUUCUGGGCAAUAUACUGAUUGUGGAAGCAAUUCUCGAAACUCAAAAUGGUCAACCAAUCAAUAUAACAACAUUGAAAAAAAUGACUCCCGAAUACCUUUUGGUGCUUGUCGCAAAAGGGAAGGAUAUCAAGAAAAUACAUCAAGGCGUAAAAGCUGGAAACAUGAGGGUGCUGACUAUGAGUCACGUCAAUUUUGGGGAAAGGUGAGACCACAGGGACAAUAUAACUGAGGUAAUCUUAAUUUUUAGGAAUAUACUACGUCGGGCGUAGUGGUCAUUUUGAAUGAAGGUUACACUGAAUCAGAAUGUACUAUGCUUUUGCUCACAAUAUGAGUAUGUAUCUUUUUAAUAUGUGAACGGACUAGAAAAUGUAUUCCUUGUUUGGUUUCUCUUGUAAUCAGAACUUUGUGGCUGAUGUUGCUAUGCCGCUCCUGUUAUCUCAGAGACCUUUAAUGACCCUUCUGCUAUAAUUUUUAGUGUGUGCGAUUAUUGAAUGUUAGUACCUUUCUGCAUUUAGUGAACACGACAUUAUUGUGGAUGUUUUACUUUUUACUUGUUGGACCUGCUUGUUAAUAUGGAUGCAGAGAAAUUUUGAUGAGAUGAGUAAUGCAUGUUGCAGGGAAGAUACAACUAACUUGGAAACCUAUAUAUGUAUUACAAGCCAACUCCACAAGUUCUGUAAAAAAGUAAAUGAAAAAGGAGGUUUUCCAAUUUACCAUCGAACAAAGGUAAAGAUGAUCCACUAGGCACAGGUGACUUGUUUGUUAGUAGAUCAUCACCUGUAAAGUGAUUGCUUUCCGGUUGAACCCAAUAUAUAUUGGGUACGACAGCAAAGAAAGAUGUUGAGGGGGAAGAGUAGAGAGACUUUAGUCGGAGCUUCUUUCAUUUGCGUAGGGGUAAGACUAGAGAAACUCCAGUAGUAGCUUCUUUCAUUUGCGUAAUAUCUAUACUUGGAUAGAGCAGGGUCGCCAUUAGCAAAAAAAACUUCCCAAAAACUUGAAGUAGGCUGAGAUGAACUAUAUAUGCAGACCAUGUGAGGUUGGGCAAUCUGAUGUUCCUUGUUUUCUUGAUUCCUGCAUAUAGCUCUGGAAGAACACUCUUUGGUGUCCUUUACCUCUUUGUUCUUUUGCAUAUUCACACUUUCCAGUCCUUGUUACUGCGUAACUGUCCUCUAUAGGGAUUCAGGUCCACUAUCUUCUAUGCGUAAAACCGAAUGAGAUUGGUUUUUUUUGAAAGCUAGGACUCUAGUUUCUGGAUGUAUUAGGCUCUGUUCACUUCACUUGAAUGGAAUCAUUUUGGGCUGAAUGGAAUGGCCAUUCCGGGCUGAAUGAAUAAUUGUGUUGUUUGGUUGGGCCAGUUGAAUGGAAUGACUAAUCCAAGUCCAUUCCUUUUGGGCUAAAAUAAUAACAAACUCAUUCCUUUUAAAACACCCGGUACAGAUUCAUUCCCGUUGCCAAAUUAAAACGCCGGGCCACGUAAAAACAGAGCUCUCCUCUCUUGCACAGCGAUUCUUCUCCUGACGAUAUCUCUCUCUACGAACAGCGAUCUCUCUCUCUCCCAAGCGCUCCAGCACUCUCUCUCUUCCAAUUAGCACUCAAGCACACACUCUCUCGGUUUCGGGGGUUUGGUUUAGGAGGUGAUGUUUUACAGUGGAAAUAUGCUUCACUAGCGGCAUUGAUUGCUGUGUCGUACUGCAUAUUACAUUACAUCAGUGAUCUUUUCCAGUGAAACAAUACAGCAGCUUGUUCCUUCAGUUGCAGAUGCAAUAUUGGUCCUCGGACAAGGAAGCAUAUUCGCUUAUACAAUUUCGUAGUUCCUGGGUGUUUGAUCUUUCUGUAGUAAGCAGGGCUGUUUCCAAAAAGAAUUAUAGCCAUGGCCCGACUUCCGUUGACAAUGAUUCAACAUAUCCGGAAGAAGAAAGCUAUUUUAGUAUAUACACUAUGGAUGCGAAUGAUUUUAUCGUUCAAUGCUGUUUUUCAUCUUAUGUUUCUCUCCCAAUUGACGAGAAAAACUUUGAGAGAGCGAUACACGAUUUUUAAGAUGGAGCGAAAUCAAUAUAUACAUAGGCUGAUUCAUGAAGGCCCUGCUAGCUGUGUUGAAAAUCUUCGAAUGGAUAAAAGAUCGUUUUAUAAGUUGUGUUUCUUGUUGGAGUCAAGGGGUUAUGUGCAACAAAGUAGGCAUGUUAACGUGGUAGAAAAAGUUGCUAUGUUUCUUUAUAUUCUAGGACACCACACAAAAAUGCGAAUUGUUCACACAGAUUUUCAAAGAUCAAAACAAUCAAUUACUAGGUAUUUUCAUGCGGUACUCAAUGGGGUUUUAAGGUUGCAAGGAGAUUAUUUUAAAAAACCUGAACCAAUUCAAAGCAACUCAACGGAUAAAACAUGGAAGCAUUUUAAGAACUGUUUGGAAGCUUUGGAUGGGACACACAUUAAGAUGACCAUACCCGUAGAUGAUAGGCCAAAGUACAGAAAUAGGAGAGGUGAAAUUACAACAAAUGUUCUUGGAGCUUGUUCACCUAAUUUGCAAUUUCAGUACGUGUUGACGGGUUGGGAAGGAUCAGCCGCAGAUGGAAGAGUCUUAAGAGAUGCUAUAUAUAGACAUAGAUUGAUUGUCCCAACCGGUACUUACUAUCUAGUUGAUGCUGGUUAUACUAAUGGGGAAGGUUUUUUGGCACCAUUUAGAGGAGAAAGAUAUCAUUUGAAUGAUUGGGAUGACGAUAAUCAGCCCACAUCUGCCCGUGAAUAUUACAAUAUGAUGCACUCGUCAGCUAGGAAUGUAAUUGAGAGAUGUUUUGGCAUCCUAAAGAAGAGAUGGGCGAUCCUUAGAAGCCCAUCAUUUUAUCCCUUGAAGACACAAAAUAGGAUCGUCUUAGCUUCUUGUAUCCUUCAUAAUUACAUUCGGAUUGAAUCAGAAUUUGAUCAAGCUGAAAUUGAGUUUGAUCAGCAUGGGCCAGAGGACCAUCAUGAGCAAAAUGAGCAUGAGGCAGACGAAGAUCACAUCACAACUGUUGGCACUUCAGAUGCAUGGACGACAUUUAGAAACAACCUAGCCGACUCGAUGUUAAUUAGUUGGAAUCAUUAGAUUUUUCUAUAAUCUUCCUAACUGGUGUAUAAGACUAUGCUAUCGGUGGUUAUAUGUCAUUUUUGUGCUGCCAUCUUUAUGUUUAAAUCACUUUGCAGAAGUUUCUAACCAUGUUUUACUUCAAUUUAUGGUGUUUGUAGGUUUAAUCAGAAAGUGAACAACUCCUGGAGUAUAUAUAUUUGGUGGCUCGCCCAAAUGGAAGUAUGCAGCUCUCUCAUUUUGUUGUUAUAUUUGGAGUAAUGAGCAUGGUCCUCCAGAACCAAAGACAUGAAGAUUUUACAUGGUCAUGUAGCGAAACUUUGGUGUACAGUUGUUAAAAUAGGUGUCUUGUAUUAGUAUCUUAAACUUGAUGGGUGCUUGUACGAGACUUGUCGGCAUUUAUUUUAUACUUAUUUUGAUGAA